UACAGAGGUCCCGAGCGUUGUUCGGAUUCACUGGGUUUAAAGGGUGCGUAGGUGGGUUGGUAAGUCAGUGGUGAAAUCUCCGUGCUUAACAUGGAAACUGCCAUUGAUACUACUGAUCUUGAAUUUUCUGGAGGUAAGCGGAAUAUGUCAUGUAGCGGUGAAAUGCUUAGAUAUGACAUAGAACACCAAUUGCGAAGGCAGCUUACUACAGGGAUAUUGACACUGAGGCACGAAAGCGUGGGGAUCAAACAGG
rnacentral:rRNA from 1 species